rnacentral:rRNA from 1 species
UACGUAGGUGGCAAGCGUUGUCCGGAAUUAUUGGGCGUAAAGCGCGCGCAGGCGGUCCUUUAAGUCUGAUGUGAAAGCCCACGGCUCAACCGUGGAGGGUCAUUGGAAACUGGGGGACUUGAGUACAGAAGAGAAAAGUGGAAUUCCACGUGUAGCGGUGAAAUGCGUAGAGAUGUGGAGGAACACCAGUGGCGAAGGCGACUCUUUGGUCUGUAACUGACGCUGAGGCGCGAAAGCGUGGGGAGCAAACAGG